rnacentral:misc_RNA from 1 species
GUGUAGUUCUAAAUGAAGCAACCUGGUAUCCCUGCGCCUUAUCUGUCGGCAUGAAUUACCAACCCGUUUUGGAGAAGAAAUGUCAGUGUAUGAAAAGUUACUAUAUCUCCUCCGAUUAGAAUCAGUGUAUUUCCUCCUGUCCAAAGAAUGAGAAGAUUUGCCACUUUUCCAUGACAAACUUCUGGCAGUUGAUGAAGAAGAUACAGUCCCCGAACUUGAC